CUAAGAAUAUUCCGCAAUGGACGGAAGUCUGACGGAGCGACGCCGCGUGGAUGACGAAGGCCGAAAGGUUGUAAAGUUCUUUUGCUGGGGAAGAAUAACCGCAGGAGGGAAUGCCUGUGGGAUGACAAGAACCGGCGAAUAAGCCCCGGCCAACUACGUGCCAGCAGCCGCGGUAACACGUAGGGGGCGAGCGUUGUUCGGAAUUACUGGGCGUAAAGGGCAUGUAGGCGGCUUGGAAAGCCUGGCGUGAAAGUCUGCAGCUUAACUGCAGGGGUGCGCUGGGAACUGCUGAGCUUGAGUGACGGAGAGGGAGCUGGAAUUCCUGGUGUAGGGGUGAAAUCUGUAGAUAUCAGGGAAGAACACCGAUGGCGAAGGCAAGCUCCUGGCCGAUGACUGACGCUGAGGUGCGAAAGUGUGGGGAUCAAACAGGAUUAGAUACCCUGGUAGUCCAUACAGUCAACGAUGUGCACUAGGUGCUGGGGCGGUAGCUUCGGUGCCGGAGCGAACGUGGUAAGUGCACCGCCUGGGGAGUAUGCUCGCAAGGGUG
rnacentral:rRNA from 1 species